ACAAGCCUGGGGCUCUUCUCAACUUCUGGUGAUUUAUGCGAUGCAUGAGGAGAAUCGGGUUGUUGCCCACAGCACGCUGCAGCGACGUCUUCUUCUCCUCUCUUCGCGGGUGCUCGCCGAUCCACGCUGCCACCCAUCAAUGUUGACAAGUCACCAUCUAAAAGGUUGUCCGAGGAGAAACUGCUGGUUUCGAACGCUAGCAAGCUCCUGGCAUGGACAAGACAGAAGUGGGAAGGCUAUUGCUGCUCC